rnacentral:misc_RNA from 1 species
UAAAUAAAUAAAUAAAUAAAUGCUACUUUGCAUAAAUGAACUGCCAAGAGUACAUUAAAUACGACUUGCUUAUUCUGUAAUCAUCUUCACAAUCUUAAAUCAUGUGGUUGCAUAGUUGUAACUGCACAUUGCAUGGAAAAUGGAUAUUGAAUCUGAUUCUAUAUUUGUCGACUUGCUUGGCAACUCAACUGAGUAAUUACUUGGCCCUAUGUAAGCCUUACGGCUUCACAGGAGUUGUGGUUGGAUCCACCAGUUUUAAUUCUCUCCUCCGUUUUCUGUUUUCUGCUUUCUUCUCUCUGUUCAAAAAUUUUUGAUUCCUCCAUUCUA